rnacentral:misc_RNA from 1 species
AACGCACAUUGCGCCCCUUGGUAUUCCAUGGGGCAUGCCUGUUCGAGCGUCAUUUGUACCUUCAAGCUCUGCUUGGUGUUGGGCGUUUGUCUCGCCUCUGCGCGUAGACUCGCCUCAAAACAAUUGGCAGCCGGCGUAUUGAUUUCGGAGCGCAGUACAUCUCGCGCUUUGCACUCAUAACGACGACGUCCAAAAGUACAUUUUUACACUCUUGACCUCGGAUCAGGUAGGGAUACCCGCUGAACUUAA